rnacentral:rRNA from 1 species
GGAAAGCUCAAAUGGGGAAUUGGCCCCGGAGGCAGCAGUAAAGAAUUUUGUGCAAUAUAUGAAGGUAAGACACAGAGAGGGCACCUUACCUAGUCCGUCAAAUUAAGUGCCAGCAGACGCGGUGAAACUUAAGGGCUAGUUUUGUGGGCAAAAGCGUAAAGGGUGUGAUAGGCCGUUUUAAUUAAAAAGGGUUUUAUAAUUUAAGAAGGUAAAUGGAAUUUUUUUGUAGCGGUGGAAUGUGUAAAUAGAAAAAAGAACUUUAGACGUGAAGACUAUUUAUUUUUGAGAUUAUGGUGUGAUGGCUAAAACACGAGAGUAUGGGGAGCAAACAGGAUUAGGGACCCUGGUAGUCUAUACUGUAAAUAAUGAAAAAGAUGUGAAGCAAUCCUAAAAAGUCAGAAAUUUUCCGCUUGAGUAGUACGACCGCAAGGUUAAAAUUCAAAAAACUUGGCUGUUCACUGUUUUAAUUAGAGGAGCGUGUCGUUUAAUUCGAUAGUCCGCGAGAGACCUUACCCAAACUUGAAUCCCUCAUUGACAGGUAUUGCAUGGCCGUCGUCAAUUUGUGUAUUAAACAUAAAACAGAUUUAACCCAGUGGUUUGUCACUUGGAUGAAGUCAGGUCUUAUUGUCCUAAUGUUUGGGGAUUAGAUGCGCUACAUUUUUUUAUACAAUAGGAAACUUUGAGUGUGAAACCUGAAAAUAAGAGUUCGGAAAGUGCCUGGAAGAUUACGGAAAGUUGUAUUUAAUAGUAAUUGAAAAGUAGAGCGUUUCAAUGAAAUUUUUUCAGUGUUAGUACAAAUUGCCCGUCGCCUUUGCUUAGACAGGUUGGUUGAUUGCCCCUCAAGAGGGUUUCUAAUACCUCCGAGGCAGAGUAAGUC